rnacentral:rRNA from 1 species
GAUGAACGCUGACAGAAUGCUUAACACAUGCAAGUCUACCAAGAAUCACUUCGGUGAGGAAUGGUGGCGGACGGGUGAGUAACGCGUAAAUAAUCUGCCCUUUAGAUUGGGAUAUCCUUUGGAAACGAAGGUUAAUACCGGAUAUUAUGAGAUGGACGCAUGUUCAACUUAUGAAAGCUAAAUGCACUAGAGGAGGAGUUUGCGUACCAUUAGCUAGUUGGUGAGGUAAAGGCUCAUCAAGGCCACGAUGGGUAGCCAGCCUGAGAGGGUGAACGGCCACAAGGGAACGAGGAAGCCGUCCUUACUCCUAAUGGAUGCAGCGGUGGGGAAUAUUGGACAAUGGACCAAAAGUCUGAUCCAGCAAUUCUGUGUGCACGAUGAAGGUCUUCGGAUGGUAAAGUGCUUUCAUUAUAGAAGAAAAAAAUGACGGUACCUACAGAAUAAGCGACGGCUAAAUAUGUGCCAGCCGCCGCCGUAACAC